rnacentral:rRNA from 1 species
UGGGGAAUAUUGCACAAUGGGGGAAACCCUGAUGCAGCGACGCCGCGUGAACGAAGAAGGUAUUCGUAUCGUAAAGUUCUGUCCUAUGGGAAGAUAAUGACAGUACCAUAGAAGAAAGCUCCGGCUAAAUACGUGCCAGCAGCCGCGGUAAUACGUAUGGAGCGAGCGUUGUCCGGAAUUAUUGGGCGUAAAGGGUACGCAGGCGGUUUAAUAAGUCGAAUGUUAAAGAUCGGGGCUCAACCCCGCAAAGCAUUGGAAACUGAUAGACUUGAGUAGUAGAGAGGAAAGUGGAAUUCCUAGUGUAGUGGUGAAAUACGUAGAUAUUAGGAGGAAUACCAGUAGCGAAGGCGACUUUCUGGACACAAACUGACGCUGAGGUACGAAAGCGUGGGGAGCAAACAGG